rnacentral:rRNA from 1 species
GACGAGGGGUCCUAGCGUUGUUCGGAAUCACUGGGCGUAAAGCGUAUGUAGGCGGGCUUUUAAGUCAGGUGUGAAAUCCCACGGCUCAAUUGUGGAAUUGCAUUUGAAACUGGAAGUCUUGAGUGUGGGAGAGAUUGGUAGAAUACCUGGUGUAGUGGUGAAAUACGUAGAUAUCAGGUGGAAUACCGGUGGCGAAGGCGGCCAAUUGGCCCAACACUGACGCUGAGAUACGAAAGCGUGGGGAUCAAACAGG